GCGGUCAGUGUGCCAUUUGAAUUUGAUGGAUAGGUGGGAAUUGUGUAAUUUGUGUAAUUUAGGUACUGUUCCAAAGAUCAUUGUGACAGUUUUGUCAAUGUUCAGGAAGAGUGUUUUUUGCGAUCAAAUAAUGCAACUUUAGAUGGAUUUCUAUCCUGCAUUACAACAGUGAUCUCUUGAUUUCCUAAACUAGCACAGUUUAUAGCUUUAAGGAGUGUCAACAUUUUUGUGUCCAACCCAAAAGCAUUUUUUAAGUACAUAAACUAUAAAAAACCCAAAAAUGAAAGUUUAGGUACACUAAAAAC